rnacentral:rRNA from 1 species
CCUGGUGACCAUAGCGGAGGUGUUCCACCCGUUCCCAUUCCGAACACGGAAGUUAAGCCCUCCCGCGCCGAUGGUACUGUCCCUCAAUUGGGAUGGGAGAGUAGGUCGUCGCCAGGU